AUUCAAUGUUGUGGGCAUUUCCUUAAUGUCUCCUUGUACCUCUCCCAAGUGUCAUACAAGGUUUCAGAUUCCAAUUGUAGUAAGGAUGAAAUACCACUCCUUAAUUU